rnacentral:rRNA from 1 species
GUGACAGCCCCGUACACAAAAAUGCACAUACUGUGAGCUCGAUGAGUAGGGCGGGACACGUGGUAUCCUGUCUGAAUAUGGGGGGACCAUCCUCCAAGGCUAAAUACUCCUGACUGACCGAUAGUGAACCAGUACCGUGAGGGAAAGGCGAAAAGAACCCCGGCGAGGGGAGUGAAAAAGAACCUGAAACCGUGUACGUACAAGCAGUGGGAGCACGCUUAGGCGUGUGACUGCGUACCUUUUGUAUAAUGGGUCAGCGACUUAUAUUCUGUAGCAAGGUUAACCGAAUAGGGGAGCCGAAGGGAAACCGAGUCUUAACUGGGCGUUAAGUUGCAGGGUAUAGACCCGAAACCCGGUGAUCUAGCCAUGGGCAGGUUGAAGGUUGGGUAACACUAACUGGAGGACCGAACCGACUAAUGUUGAAAAAUUAGCGGAUGACUUGUGGCUGGGGGUGAAAGGCCAAUCAAACCGGGAGAUAGCUGGUUCUCCCCGAAAGCUAUUUAGGUAGCGCCUCGUGAAUUCAUCUCCGGGGGUAGAGCACUGUUUCGGCAAGGGGGUCAUCCCGACUUACCAACCCGAUGCAAACUGCGAAUACCGGAGAAUGUUAUCACGGGAGACACACGGCGGGUGCUAACGUCCGUCGUGAAGAGGGAAACAACCCAGACCGCCAGCUAAGGUCCCAAAGUCAUGGUUAAGUGGGAAACGAUGUGGGAAGGCCCAGACAGCCAGGAUGUUGGCUUAGAAGCAGCCAUCAUUUAAAGAAAGCGUAAUAGCUCACUGGUCGAGUCGGCCUGCGCGGAAGAUGUAACGGGGCUAAAC